UUUAACGGCCGCGGUAUUUUGACCGUGCAAAGGUAGCAUAAUCAUUAGUCUUUUAAUAGAAGGCUGGAAUGAAGGGUUAAACGAAACAUUAACUGUCUCAUUUAUAUUAUUAGAAUUUAAUUUUUGAGUCAAAAAGCUUAAAUUUUAUUGGAGGACGAGAAGACCCUAUAGAGCUUUAUAUUUUAUUAUUUUAUAAUAUUUUGUUUAAUAUAUUUUUAUUAAUUAUUAAUUUAUUUUGUUGGGGUGACAAAAACACUUAAUAAACUUUUUUAUUUUAUUUACAUAAAUGCAUGAAUAUUUGAUCCAGUAUUAUUGAUUGUUAGAUUAAGUUACCUUAGGGAUAACAGCGUAAUCUUCUUUGGGAGUUCUUAUUUACAAGAAGGCUUGCGACCUCGAUGUUGGAUUAAGAUUAUUAUUUGGUGUAGUAGCUGAAUUGGUAGGUCUGUUCGACCUUUAAAAUCUUACAUGAUCUGA
rnacentral:rRNA from 1 species